GUUUAGAUAAUGAGAAUAUGAAUUUUGUAAAUUUGGGGUUAGUGCUGGCUUGUGGGCC
rnacentral:tRNA from 1 species